UUCUGGGAGAGGAAAACCUCACAAAGACA
rnacentral:piRNA from 1 species